GACGAACGCUGGCGGCGUGCUUAACACAUGCAAGUCGAGGGCACCCAGGGGCAACUCUGGGUGACCGGCGAACGGGUGCGUAACACGUGAGCGACCUGCCCGCUUGUGGGGGAUAGCCGGCCCAACGGCCGGGUAAUACCGCAUACGUUCUUUUGGGGGCAUUCCUGCGGGAAGAAAACUUGAGUGCAGGCGGAGGGGCUCGCGGCCCAUCAGCUAGUUGGUAGGGUAACGGCCUACCAAGGCAAAGACGGGUAGCUGGUCUGAGAGGAUGAUCCGCCACACUGGAACUGAGACACGGUCCAGACUCCUACGGGAGGCAGCAGUGGGGAAUCUUGCGCAAUGGACGAAAGUCUGACGCAGCGACGCCGCGUGAGUGAUGAAGGCCUUCGGGUUGUAAAGCUCUGUGGGGAGGGACGAAUUAGUGGAGGCCAAUACCCUUCAUGAUGACGGUACCUCCUUAGCAAGCACCGGCUAACUCUGUGCCAGCCGCCGCAGUAACAC
rnacentral:rRNA from 1 species